rnacentral:rRNA from 1 species
AGUGAACGCUGGCGGUAGACCUAACACAUGCAAGUCGAACGGCAGCACAGUAAGAGCUUGCUCUUACGGUUGUCGAGUGGCGGACGGGUGAGGAAUACAUCGGAAUCUACUUUUUCGUGGGGGAUAACGUAGGGAAACUUACGCUAAUACCGCAUACGACCUACGGGUGAAAGCAGGGGAUCUUCGGACCUUGCGCGAUUGAAUGAGCCGAUGUCGGAUUAGCUAGUUGGCGGGGUAAAGGCCCACAAAGGCGACGAUCCGUAGCUGGUCUGAGAGGAUGAUCAGCCACACUGGAACUGAGACACGGUCCAGACUCCUACGGGGGGCAGCAGUGGGGAAUAUUGGACAAGGGGCGCAAGCCUGAUCCAGCCAUACCGCGUGGGUAAAGAAGGCCUUCGGGUUGUAAAGCCCUUUUGUUGGGAAAGAAAAGCAGCAGGUUAAUACCCCGAUGUUCUGACGGUACCCAAAGAAUAAGCACCGGCUAACUUCGUG